rnacentral:rRNA from 1 species
AUUGAACGCUAGCGGCAGGCUUUACACAUGCAAGUCGAACGAGUGGCGGACGGGUGAGUAAUAUAUCGGAAAGUGCCCAGUAGAGGGGGAUAACUACUGGAAAGGGUGGCUAAUACCGCAUACCAUCGGAUGUGCCCAUAUGGGAUUAGCUAGUUGGUGGGGUAAAGGCUCACCAAGGCAACGAUCCGUAGCUGGUUUGAGAGGACGACCAGCCACACGGGGACUGAGACACGGCCCAGACUCCUACGGGAGGCAGCAGUGGGGAAUAUUGCACAAUGGGGGAAAGCCUGAUGCAGCCAUGCCGCGUGUAUGAAGAAGGCCUUCGGGUUGUAAAGUACUUUUAGCGGGGAGGCGUUACCCGCAGAAGAAGCACCGGCUAACUCCGUGCCAGCCGCCGCGGUAAUAC